GUUUGAGUUCAUUUAUAGUCAGAGGGUUUUAAUUUACUUGUGAAGUUCACACUAUUGAAACUAAUUGCAAUGCUUGACUUUAUUUUCUUUAGAGUCCAAGAAAGAGAAAAACAAGGCAUAGCACAAAUCCCCCUCUAGAGUUUCAUGUUGGUUGGGUAAUGGAUUCCAGAGACCAUGGGCCAAGAACAUCCUGUGUCAGCACUUCAAAUGCUUCACCUUCAGAAGGCGCACCACUAGCAGGAAAUUAUGGAUGUACUCCUCAUUCAUUCCCAAAGUUCCAGCAUCCUUCUCAUGAACUUUUGAAGGAAAAUGGCUUUACCCAACAAGUAUACCACAAGUAUCGUCGAAGAUGCCUAAGUGAGAGAAAACGCUUGGGAAUUGGUCAGUCCCAAGAAAUGAAUACCCUCUUUCGUUUCUGGUCCUUUUUCCUCAGAGAUCACUUCAAUAAAAAAAUGUAUGAGGAAUUUAGACAACUUGCUUGGGAAGAUGCAAAAGAAAAUUACAGGUCAGCUCUAUGGACUAGAAAAGUUUUGGGCUUAUUUGAAAUAUUCUCAAUCUAAGACACAGUCUGUUGACCCAAAACUUCAGGAAUACCUCUGUAGUUUUAAGAGGUUAGAAGACUUCCGUGUUGAUCCCCCUAUUAGUGAGGAAUUUGGAAGAAAAAGACAUUCCUGUACUUCUGGUGAGGAGAGUAAUCGUCAUAGACUUCCACCUAAUUGCUCUACAAAGCCACCAAAUGCUGCUAAACCUACAUCUACCAGUGAGCUUCAGGAGGCUGAUCCAAUAGAGUAAUACCUAAUUAUAUCACCAUGAGAUGACAGAAUGGAAUGUCAGAUCUGUAGACUUUUGACAGGAAAAAUCACCGUGAUCGAUUACUUCUGCUCAUCUUAAACAUCUAGUUCCUAAGCAGGAUGUGAGAAUCUGCCUUCCUGUGACCUCUCCUGGGCUCAGUGACACUCCAGUCACCGCCCCACCCCACACCAAUGCCACUUCCAAGUUUGACUUGCAUCUUACAAACCAGUAUUUCUGUUUACUUUUUUUCUGCCCUGGGACAUUUUUAAUAACUUUUAGAUAACAACUUCAACAAAAAUUUACCUCCCACCAA
rnacentral:sRNA from 1 species